UGUGCCGCAGGGGAGGAGACACAUGGACUUGUGCUGGGCUCACAGCUUCCUAAGCAAAAACAGCAAAGACCACUCCCAGCCUCCUCCAACCACAGGGCGGCUGUGCUGGUGGGAAAGGUGGUGUGUGUGUCUAUGUGUGUGCAUGUGGGGUACAUGCUUGUGGCGUGCACUCAUGUGGCAUGCACUCGUGGCAUGUGUGAUACGGUGUGUGUAGUGUGUGGUGUCUGUGGUCUGUGUAUGGUUUGUGUGUGUGUGUGAUGUGCUGUGGUAUGUAUGGUGUAUGUGUGUAUGUUUGUGUGUGAUUUGCUAUGGUGUGGUGUGUAUCAUUUGUGUGUGUGGUUUGCUCCUUUGUGGUGUGUAUGCUUUGUGUUUGUGCGUGUGGUGUGCUCUGCUGUAGUGUGUAUGGUUUGUGUNNNNNNNNNNNNNNNNNNNNGUGGUGUGUAUGGUUUGUGUGUGUGCUGUGCUGUGGUGUGUAUAGUUUGUGUUGUGUGUGUGCUGUGCUAUGGUGUGUAUGGUUUGUGUGUGUGUGUUCUGUGCUAUGGUGUGUAUGGUUUGUGUGUGUCUGUGUGCUGUGCUGUGGUGUGUAUGAUUUGUGUGUGUGUGUGCUGUGCUGUGGUGUGUAUGGUUUGUGUGUGUGCUGUGCUGUGGUGUGUAUGAUGUGUGUGUGUGUAUGUAUAUGUGGCAUGCUGUGGUGUGUGUGUGUCCCAAGCUGCACAGGGUUGUCACACAGCCCGAGUGCCCUGGUCCCUGCGUUCUUUGUAAUCACAGCCAUGGCAUCUGAGUGUGGCUGGGAGGGAGGCCACCUGCCUGCUUUCCGAGGAUCUCAGCUUUGGGGUGGUAUCAGGGGUGACAGAUGCCCCAGGCGUCUUCUCUCCAGGAGUCAGGGUGGGGUCUCCGAGAGAACAGCACUCAUUGUGAUGAGUGGUUCUGCUUUCUUCCCAGGCCGCCUGCUGUGGGCAGUGAGUGGAAUUUCCCAAGGCUGGCCGGCUUUAGUGUGGCUGUGCGGGAGGGCACAGCAGCAGCACCUGGGCCCACGGAGCUGCCGGAGCUGGGCCCCACUGCCCCCAGCCGCUUGCCCUGCCAGGGAAGGAAACGCCCAGGACUCUUCUGCCCUAACUUCCCCAUGUCUUUGCUCUGGUCAAGGAGAGCAUUUGCCUUGCCACUAUUACAUCUCCAUGGAAGGUAAAGGCAUGAUGUGUCUCCUUGUAGCAGGAUUGGGCCUGGAUUCUCACUGUGGAAUGGAAAAUCUUGUCCCCUGGUGGAAGCUUUCAACCAGGUGA
rnacentral:lncRNA from 1 species